GGCCGGCCCAAAUGUAGUCAGUUACCGCAACUCAUUGUCCAGUCAGUUACAGAUAGAACCCCUUGUUUUACUCUUUCUUUCCUUCUCACUACUGCAUUUAACAGUCCAAAA
rnacentral:Y_RNA from 1 species